rnacentral:rRNA from 1 species
UACAGAGGUCUCAAGCGUUGUUCGGAUUCAUUGGGCGUAAAGGGUGCGUAGGUGGCGAGGCAAGUCUGGUGUGAAAUCCCGGGGCUCAACCCCGGAACUGCACUGGAUACUGCCUUGCUUGAGCACUGGAGAGGGAACUGGAAUUUACGGUGUAGCAGUGAAAUGCGUAGAUAUCGUAAGGAGGACCAGUGGCGAAGGCGAGUUCCUGGACAGUUGCUGACACUGAGGCACGAAGGCUAGGGGAGCAAACGGG